rnacentral:rRNA from 1 species
GGAGUUAGCCGGUGCUUCUUCUGUGAGUGAUGUCCUUCCUGCCGGCUAUUAACCCGCAGGCCUUCUUCCUCACUGAAAGUGCUUUACAACCCGAAGGCCUUCUUCACACACGCGGCAUGGCUGGAUCAGGGUUGCCCCCAUUGUCCAAUAUUCCCCACUGCUGCCUCCCGUAGGAGUCUGGGCCGUGUCUCAGUCCCAGUGUGGCUGAUCAUCCUCUCAGACCAGCUACGGAUCGUCGCCUUGGUGAGCCGUUACCUCACCAACCAGCUAAUCCGACAUAGGCUCAUCCGAUAGCGCGAGGCCCGAAGGUCCCCCGCUUUCCCCCGUAGGGCGUAUGCGGUAUUAGCCUGGGUUUCCCCAGGUUAUCCCCCACUACCGGGCAGAUUCCUAUGCAUUACUCACCCGUCCGCCGCUCGCCACCAGGGAGCAAGCUCCCCGUGCUGCCGCUCGACUUGCAUGUGUUAGGCCUGCCGCCAGCGUUCAAUCUGAGCCAGGAAUCGAAACCUCUACGACUAGAGGCGGNGUCGGACGACGGCGACAG